UCCGAUGUAGUGUAGGGGUUAUCACUGUGCUCUUUCAAGCCCUUAUUUGGGAUAUCGAGCAGCACUAACGGGGGUUCGAAUCCCCCCAUCGGAG
rfam:Penicillium chrysogenum Wisconsin 54-1255 complete genome, contig Pc00c18